rnacentral:misc_RNA from 1 species
GAUGAAGAACGCAGCGAAAUGCAAUAAGUAAUGCGAAUUGCAGAAUCCGUGAGUCAUCGAAUCUUUGAACGCACAUUGCGCCCUUUGGUAUUCCGAAGGGCAUGCCUGUUCGAGCGUCAUUAUCACCCCUCAAGCCCCGGCUUGGUGUUGGGCUCUCGGUGGUCGUCUCCGACCACCCGUCUCAAAGAUAGUGACGGCGUCCCAGAGGGAACCGGUACGAGGAGCUUUCACGAGCAUGUACGCGGGACGACUCUGCGGGCGACGGUCUUAUUUACUUUAUAUACAAGUGUUGACCUCGGAUCAGGUAGGAAUACCCGCUGAACUUAAGCAUAUCAAUAAGCGGAGGA